CCUACGGGAGGCAGCAGUGGGGAAUAUUGGGCAAUGGAGGCAACUCUGACCCAGCAACGCCGCGUGAAUGAUGAAGGUCUUCGGAUUGUAAAGUUCUGUGAUGGGGGAUGAACACAAUGACGGUACCCCAAUAGCAAGCCACGGCUAACUACGUGCCAGCAGCCGCGGUAAUACGUAGGGGGCAAGCGUUAUCCGGAAUGACUGGGCGUAAAGGGGGCGUAGGUGGUUUAGUAAGUUGGCGGUGUAAGUCCGGGGCUCAACCCCGGCGCUACCGCCAAAACUAUUAGACUAGAGUGCAGGAGGGGUAAGUGGAAUUCCUAGUGUAGCGGUGGAAUGCGUAGAUAUUAGGAGGAACAUCAGGGGCGAAGGCGACUUACUGGACUGUAACUGACACUGAGGCACGAAAGCGUGGGAAGCAAACAGGAUUAGAUACCCCUGUAGUC
rnacentral:rRNA from 1 species